rnacentral:rRNA from 1 species
UAGCGACAGGCUUAACACAUGCAAGUCGAGGGGCAGUGGGGGAGUGGCAACACUCCCGCCGGCGACCGGCGCACGGGUGAGUAACACGUAUGCAAUCUGCCCCGGGCAGGGGGAUAAUCGGAAGAAAUUCCGUCUAAUACCGCAUAACGCCUCCGGGGGGCAUCCCCCUGGGGCCAAAGGUGGCGACACCGGCCCGGGAUGAGCAUGCGGCGCAUUAGCCAGUUGGCGGGGCAACGGCCCACCAAGGCGACGAUGCGUAGGGGUUCUGAGAGGAAGGUCCCCCACACUGGUACUGAGACACGGACCAGACUCCUACGGGAGGCAGCAGUGAGGAAUAUUGGUCAAUGGGCGAGAGCCUGAACCAGCCAAGUCGCGUGAGGGAAGACGGUCCUAUGGAUUGUAAACCUCUUUAGCCGGGGAGCAAGGGGCGCCGCGUGCGGCGUCUCGGAGAGUACCCGGAGAAUAAGCAUCGGCUAACUCCGUGCCAGCAGCCGCGGUAAUACGGAGGAUGCGAGCGUUAUCCGGAUUUAUUGGGUUUAAAGGGUGCGUAGGCGGGUCUUCAAGUCAGCGGUAAAUCGCGGCGCUCAACGCCGCCCCGCCGUUGAAACUGGAGGUCUUGAGUGAACGAGAAGUGAGCGGAAUGCGUGGUGUAGCGGUGAAAUGCUUAGAUAUCACGCAGAGCUCCGAUUGCGAAGGCAGCUCACCGGCGUUCAACUGACGCUGAAGCACGAAAGCGUGGGGAUCAAACAGGAUUAGAUACCCUGGUAGUCCACGCCGUGAACGAUGAAUGCUAGCCGUGCGAGGCGAAUGUGUCUUGCGUGGCCGAGCGAAAGCGUUAAGCGUUCCACCUGGGGAGUACGCCGGCAACGGUGAAACUCAAAGGAAUUGACGGGGGCCCGCACAAGCGGAGGAACAUGUGGUUUAAUUCGAUGAUACGCGAGGAACCUUACCCGGGCUCAAACGCGUCGGCAAUACUUUUGAAAGGAGGUAGUGUUCCGGCAACGGAAAACCGACGCGAGGUGCUGCAUGGUUGUCGUCAGCUCGUGCCGUGAGGUGUCGGCUUAAGUGCCAUAACGAGCGCAACCCUCGUUGCCAGUUGCCAGCGGGUGAAGCCGGGCACUCUGGCGAGACUGCCAGCGCAAGCUGAGAGGAAGGCGGGGAUGACGUCAAAUCAGCACGGCCCUUACGUCCGGGGCGACACACGUGUUACAAUGGCAGGCACAGCGGGAAGCCACCCGGCGACGGGGAGCGGAUCCCGAAAGCCUGUCUCAGUUCGGAUCGGAGUCUGCAACCCGACUCCGUGAAGCUGGAUUCGCUAGUAAUCGCGCAUCAGCCAUGGCGCGGUGAAUACGUUCCCGGGCCUUG